AGGCAGGUGCCGUUGCACAGCGGCGCGCUCAGCUUGGCGUGGCAGGUCCACCCGUCCAGGUACACGCUGCCGUUUGCCCCGGCCGGCCCGCCCUGGUAGCGACAGUUACCCUGCCACUUCAGGGCAGGCCGCGGCGAUUGCGCAGUCGCCAGCAGGUCCCGCUGCUCCGAGACGCGGCCGGUGCUGGGGUCCACCACCAGCGAGCUCGCGUCGCCGGCAUCGAAGUACGCGACGUCGGGGGCCAGCGAGGCGGGCAGCAGGCGGGAACCUGCCGACCAAGCACGCAUUCACCACGCAUUUGAGGUGUGGCCAAUAAAAGCAAAGAUUCAUCGCGCCUGCUGGCCGCUCUAAACCGCGAGAGCUCAGGGGCCUGCCCGUGCACAUGAGCGGCUGCACGCAACAUCAACACUCGCGCAGGAUGACUGACGGCUGCGCUUGCUUCAGUAACAGGUAUUUGGUAGGAAGUGCGUAUCAAAACCAGCAGGCGACUUGACGACCUCAACUGUGGCGGACUCCGCUAUAUAUGGCGUGACGGCUUGAGCGCGAUAUACCUUGCUUUAUUGUUGGUGCGUGGUUAGCUGCUUUAAUGGAGUGGCAAGCACCCAAGAACAGGACUAGCCGAAGCAACUUCAUUCUCCCUGCCUCCUCCUGGUAGUGUCACCAUACCAGUUCGGUGUGCUUUGCCUGCUGUUUGGAUUUAGUUGAGCUCACUUCAAUGCAGGAACGAAGCCAAGGACCUUUGCGUUUUCGUCACGAUGUAAUCUGCUGGUGUAAGUCGCCUCUGCCGCAGCAUAGGAGGCGUACGCGUGGUAGGCGUUUAGCGUGGUUAUCCCUGUACUUGAGCGCGAUGGCACAUAUCACGGUUUUGGCCGAGCCCGCGCGCCCGCCCCGGCCCUGCAGGCAUCUUUUUUUCUGGACUGAAAUGGCACAGAGUGUUACAGUGCAAGCUGAUAUUGCUUGGAUCUCAAACAGGCUUAGCGCUGCAGAAUAUGAAUGUAUUGCAACAAUCCGAGUCAGUCAAUGCAAGGGCGUCGAACACUUCCUGUGCAUAACUUGUUACAUAGAGAGCAAGCUACUAUAUAUACGAAUGCUCGGCGGGGAACGACCCAACCCUGAAACAAGAACAUCCCAGCGAGCAACACGCUCCCUGACUUGAUGCUGACAGCGGCUGUGUCAACAGCCAAGGCUGGCUUACUUGCUGUUCAAAACGCUGACUGGGCAUCAGAGAGAGGACACCGAAAGGGACGGGAAGACCGUGUACCGGCAGUACUGGUAGUAUGACUCAACAACUACAGGUAACGCACUGGGGCUGCGGCACGCAGCACAAUCCAACACAGAAACCUCUAGGGGCGACCGUGCGCCGUGCUUGGCUUACGACCUACUUGAAGCUCGAAUCAGACAGAAGGCUCACUUGAGCGCGUGUGUCGUAAGGCAGUGGGGGUCAGCAGGUCAGCUGACUGGAGGCCUGUUUGCUUGUGGCUAGGCUUUUGUGGCAAUAGCUCAGGCCCGCGUGGUCAGCCCUGAAGUGCUUUUGGGCAACUACCAACCACAUUCUUUGAUGGUGGGUGCAGCCUGCAAUAUGGAGACCACCGGGGCCCAAAUGCCAUAAUCCACACCGAGCACGAUACAUUCGCAAAUUGACAUUCUUUGCGUUAACUCCACCUGCAGCCACCCCAACGCCGCGCGUGGGUCUGUCUGCCUACCUAAAUACCGUAAACACGCGUAAAGAGUACAAAAUAACGACAUGCAUCGUGCAAAGACUAAGCUAUAAGAAACGCCGGCCCGCUUCGGGAACACUGUAAAGUGCCGCUGCACUGCGCUCAUCCUACGCAAAUGCUCUUGUCCUGCAUUAGUGGUUGCUCUUAAUGAAUAGCCCUGAAAGCUCCAAACCAGAUAGGCCUCAAUGAAUGUCAGGGCCGGGCGGAAGAAAGCACGGACGUCGUGUCCGAGAGGGGCUAGUCACAGUGUGCCGCCACGCUGCCGGUCCUGGCCUAAGUUGCUCCACCCGGAAAGCGUUCACUUGACGAUUUGGGAGAAGUCUUGUUGGCAUAAAGGCAACCAUCGAAACAUGAGAGUCACACAAUGCGCGUAGCCAAUAAGUAUGGCAUGCGCGUUUACAUCAAGUCCGCCAUCUAAACGUACGGUACCCAGCAUGUCUGCCUUUCAUUACCUGCCCUUUCCGGCAGCGCUCCACCUGCCACUAUAGUACGCAUGCAGCCGCUGCAGCUCCUUCUUCUCCAGGGCCCUGCUGUAAACGAGCACCGCCGACAGCCGGCCGCGCAGGUGGGAGCCGGGCUGGCAGUCGUAGUUGAGGUCCGAGUCCCGCCAUGUGCAGCCGAUGCGGAACUCAGUGCCGUCAGGCGGCGGGAAGUUGUACAAGUCAUCGUCCACCUGUCAAACGGCCGAACACAGUCACAACUUGCGCGCAUGAGGGCGUUCGGCCCAUUAGCCCUCUGCUCCGGCACCUUUCGUUCAUUUACUCCAUACCAGCUAGCGCACUGGCACGCCGGCAAACGCACCGCGAGUAAGGUGCCCGCGGCCUGGGCUGAAGUGCCCCGGAAGUAGGUGUAGCCUUGUUCGACCUCAUUGUAUCCAUAAGUGUUGACAUCUGGUACAUCUGCAACGACGUUCAAGCCACAUGCCCAAGAGAGGUGCGCUCGUACUUCCAGAUGCCAGCAGCGUAACAUACAGGCAGGUUGUUAUGUCUUCUCCAGUGCAUGCAUAAGCCCCUGCAACUACUUCGAGGGCUUACCAUCUUCUGCUGCCCAUAAAGGCCAAGGUCAAGCCCGUCCCACUAAGCACAUGGCGACAUGGGUAUUGACAACCGAUAUCUCUGUCAAGUUGUGAGUAGCCGUGUGCCCUGCCGCUCAGACACUUGGAGCCAUACAACUACCCAAUACCUACCGUACACAUACGAGCUGAUGGCUUCCAUGCUCCACACGCCGCGGGGCACGGGCGCAGGAGAAUUCCUCCUAAAGUCUACAUUAUUGUAGUCUUCACUGCCGUCCAUCUGCAUGCACAUCAAACGCAUGUUGGUUGGUGCCGAUGACAAUUUUUACGUUCGUCUGGGCUGCUUGGCAAUAUUGCGUCAUGCCGCAUGUCAACACGCAAUCAACACAGACACGCACAUCAUGGAAAGCGACAACGCAUAUCAGCCUGGUGCCGGACUGCCGGUGGUAAUGCCCACAGACCCGCUAAGCUCCUCACCGUCAUGUACGUGGCCUUGGUGGACCAGUGCAUCGAGGGAUCUGCAGUUGCAACGAGGUGCCGGAGAACAAAAUCAGACUGUGCUGACGGCCUGCAUGUACCACGCCACGUCCGAGGUUCACAACGCGCCAGUCACCCGGGUGGACUGGCGGCACCGUAAGUCAGUGUGCGGCGGGUGCUCACAUGUUUCAGCCACCCAACGUCGCGGAACAUGUACAGCAAAGUGCGCAGACCGCUCUGGCCGCUGCUGACCAAAGUACCUUCAUGCCACGUACGACUUACUCCCAAAGUAGUAAUAGGCGCCGUCCUGCAUGCCGUACGACAUGAUGCCCAUACCACCCGUGUCCAGCUCGGCGAUUUCGUGGUCACCAUUUACGGAGGGCGCCAAAGGCGGCUUGGGCGGCGGCGGCAGGCGGGUGUUAUCCAACUCCAGAACCACCACCAGCGUGAAGGUCUGAGGCAAGAGUGCAAGCGAGCAAACAGGUUUCCUCACUUGCACCAAUAGCUCAUAUCUGCAGCAUGGGGUUGUCCCUGUUGCAAUCACGCAUUGCAGCAUAUUCCCGCGUGUUCCACGCACCAGAUUCACUCCGCCGUUUCUGUUCAACAUCAGCUGCCACUCCGCGCACAGGUUGGUGUUCAGCUGCGCGUAGCAGCUGGAGCCGUCAAGCACAAUGGAGCCUCCGCCGGAAGUGGCGUCAUAGCGGCAGUCGCCGAACCAGUCCAGGCGCUGCUGCCCAGGGUUCAGGACGUCGCGCAGGGCGCGCACGCCGCCGCCUGUCGCCACCUUGCCACCAGGCUGCGGCACUACCAGGCGGCCGGCGGUGGCGGCGGAGGCAUCAAAGUAGGCCAGGUCGGGCAUAAGCGCAGCCGGCAGGCCAGUGCCUGUGCAGGCGAGAUGGAGCACGGGAUGGGGUACCGUGCUUGUGUGAUUGGCGGGCUUGGCAUUUGGAUCAAGCACGCAUCAAGUUGUGAGGACCCACGGCACGCUUGCAACACAGCAUGACUCACUCGGGGGUGAAGGUGGCAGGGGUGGAGGGGGAGGAGGGGAGGGCGGGGUGCCGGCAGCCAGCCAGCGUGUCGUGCGGUAGUAGGUGAGCAGGCGCGACACGUCAGCAGCGGACAGCUGACGGCUGUAUACCAACACAGCCGCCAGCCUGCCCUGAAGGUAGGACUUCGUAUCACACCGGUACUCGUAGUUGCUGUAGUCCUCGUCUGGAAUGUCGAACUGUGCACAGAGAAUGGCCCAGCCAGCAUGGCCGAUACGGUUCAAGUUGACUAGGUUUGAAAAGCAGAGAGCUGCAAGCAGAGCUGGUGCCGGCGCUCUUCUACAACCGCACGCACCUUCAUGUAAUCGCACCCCAGCGCAAAGUCAGCGCCUGAAGGCGCCCUGAUGAGCGGCGCACGUCCGGAGUACAGGACGCGCGCGCCCGCGCUGUCAUCGGGACCACCACGGUAGUAGCGGGCCGUGCCAUUCAGUGCGUUGAGGUAGUUCGGCUGCCCCACAAGCGCCUCCAGUGUCCAGGUACGUGCGGGCACCCGGGUGAAGGAGAAGGUGGAGUUCGCCUUAGCGUCGGGAAACCGAAGUUGGUCGUACUCGUCAUUUGGAUUGUCGUUGACAGGAUCCACAAAGGUGACAAUCUCUCUGCAUGCAUGACCAGUCGGGUAGCGCGAAUCAGAGGGGCGCCGCGGCGAUCCCAGGAAAACCAGCAAGUCGAGCGAUUGGUGAAUGCUCUCAUGUACCGGCCCCACACGCACAGUCGCAACAACGCCCAUUCGCAGUACAAAGGAAGCUGGCCGCCACAUUCAAUCACCGAGUCCAAGGUACGUACGGUUGAUCAGAGCUCAACCCGUGACAGGGAGCUCUCUGUUUUCAUUCAUUCAUCACUCACCGUGUCAGAAUUCCAUUGGGACGCCAAGCCAGCAUACGCUCGGCGUUCCAGAAGGACUGCUGUUCGUAGCCUCUGCUUGUCAGAAGCGCGACCCGCUCUUGCUGUGAGGGUCCCAGCUGUGCUACCAACACUACGGUGUAGCCACCUGCGAGGAUGACCAGAAGAUUCACACAUUCAGUUUACCACGACAACGCCCACUCGUCGCUUUCCAGACAAUUGGAGCACGCUGAUUCGUGUGGGCAUAAGCCAUUCAGCCUGACUGGCGGUGCUUGGACGCAGCUCAGACCCGCUCACCGUCGACGCGGUCCCAGUCGCACAGGCGCGCCUUUGUAUCCAGGAUGGCAAAGCAGCUCUUGCCGUCCAGGACCACACUGCCACCCGCAGCGGAGUCCCACCGGCAGUCACCGCUCCAGGUCAGCGAUGGCCGGGGGACCUCUGGGGUUGCCAGGAUGUCACGCUGAGCUGUAACCUGGCUGCUUGUGAUGGUCAGGGAGGCCCGGUCACCGGCGUCAAAGAAGGCGACGUCAGGCAGUAGGUCAGAGGGCAGGCCUGCGCAGGCGUAAUACACGUGUUGCGUGCACGUAACACAGGUGUUGACAGUACAAGCACAAACUAGCACACGUCUGACCCCGGCCUCCGGGACCGGCCCCGAGCCCCUGCCUGCUGGCAUCAGCUAGCUCCAUGCCCCGCGCCCUAGCUUACCACGAACAGGCUUCGGGGGCGGGCUCUUCAUGAGAGGGGGAGGAGGGCUGGCCGGAACCCAUCGUGGACUGUAGAAUGUGGAAAUGCGGGCAACCUGCGCCUCCUUGAGCGCCUUGCUAUACACAAGUACAGCCACAAGGCGACCACGAAGCUUAUAGUACCGGGGGUCACAGCGGUAGGUGAUGGGCAGCCCGGCGUUGGUCGCGUUUGAAGUUCCGGCAUUAUCUGGCAUGGUCUGCACAGGUGAAUCACACUAUGCAAAUCAAACUGGGGAAGGGAAGACUGUGCACCAUAAUCAAUGCAGAGACUGCACCCGGGCCCUGGAAUGCACUCGGCGCUGUGACAGGCAGCCAGAUGCGUUGGGGCAUACAGAAACUCCGCCACCCCUGGGGGCCCGGGCACAUCACCCCCCCUGGGAUGGUGGAAACAACCCCUCUCCUCACCUCCAUGUAGUCGCAUCCGAUCACGAAGUCAGAUCCGACCGGAGCGAAGAGCCCAGGGGCGCGGCCAGAAGCCACAGUAGCGGACUUCUCGCCGAGCCCCAGCGGCUGCCUCAUCCAAGUGGCUUUGCCCCCCUUCUUGCCUGAUGACGGCUGAACUGCCAGCGCCUGCACUGUCCAGUCAGAGAUGAAGGUUGUGGCUUGCAGAACGGUCUUGGCGCGAGCCUCAGGCGUAGCGUUGUAAACUGCACUUGAGGGGUCAUAGGAGUCGCCCACAAAGAACCCGCCAUCCGGGAUGGUCCUGCACGCGUCGAAUGAAGAAUAGAAGGUGGAUGUUAUGAGAGUUUACGUGCAGUACGGAAUAUUAACUUGCAUGUUUUCAUUUCGAGUCAUGCGUGGAGUGCACAUGGGGUUUAUCGAACUACCAGCGAAGAGAGCAUGCAUCUGCGUGGGACAGCCUGGCCGUGGCACCUACUCAGCAUCGCCCUUGUCGAAUUCACUGCCGCCCAUGUCGUGCGCACACACGUGUUAAAGAGCACAAGGAAAACGUUGAAACGUGUGUGUCUGCUGUAUAGUCAUCAUUUGAGCACGCGUGCUGCUAUGCUGGCAUCACCCACCGCAGAAGGAGUUCGCUGUCGCGCCACACCAUCCGCUUGCUGGGGUUGCUGGAGGGCUCCAAGGCUGAUAGGAUUGAGCUCUGGUAGACGCUGCCAUACUCGACCACCACCACAAUUGUGUAAGCGCCUACAGAUCCCCGGAUGUGUAGUGUGAGUCUGAGAAGGUGCGGGUGAGUAAGAACGGCACAUGGCGUGCGCGCGGUGCGGCAUAAUCAUGGAAGCGAACACUGCACACACAAUUUGGCCCUGCCUGAGUUGGGAGUUGGUUGAAAGUAGUUGUGAUUCCAAACAUAAACGGUCUAGCCCGCGCGCUCAACGUAUAACCAAGGCGUGCUAUACAGGUAUGCACACGUACCCUUCAGGCAGGUGCCGUUGCACAGCGGCGCGCUCAGCUUGGCGUGGCAGGUCCACCCGUCCAUGUACACGCUGCCGUUUGCCCCGGCCGGCCCGCCCUGGUAGCGACAGUUGCCCUGCCACUUCAGGGCAGGCCGCGGCGACUGGGCAGUGGCCAGCAGGUCCCGCUGCUCCGAGACGCGGCCGGUGCUGGGGUCCACCACCAGCGAGCUCGCUUCGCCGGCAUCGAAGUACGCGACGUCGGGGGCCAACGAGGCGGGCAGGCGGGAACCUGCCGACCAAGCACGCAUUGACCACGCAUGCGAGGUGUGGCCAAUAAAAGCAAAGCUCCAUGUGCGGUGUAUGUCCCGCCUGGCCGCUCUAAACCGCGGCGGGCUGCCCGUGCACAUGAGCGGCUGCACGCAACAUCAACCCUCGCGCUGGGUGACUGACGGCUGCCCUUGCUUCAGUAGUAGCGUAGCCGGCAAUCCAGUCUAGUACAGGCAUUUGAAGUCAACUAGGUGCAGUCACCGGCAAACUAAUGCUGUCCCGCGAGUGCCCUUAAAAACCGUCUCGACAACGCGCACGCCCAGAUGCAGAUUAUUAUGAAUGGUCACUCAUCUCGUUGUCGCAACCACAGCGAGCACGCGAGCGAGCAAGCAACUGCUCCGACGGAUUUCGGGCCGCACUUGACAACCCACACGAACGCGCCUUCCACACCUGGCCGCGCUGAUGUAGCUUGUCCGGCAGCUCCAUAGCUCUGCACAGCUGCGAUAAAGACCAGCAGAAGGGGCAGCAGCGGUAGCGUUCUUCUAAACAUUCUGGCUGGCGCCUCUUUUGGUGCCAUAGUCAUGCAGAGGCUGAAAACAGAGUAGUUCAAUACACCUCUAUAUGUAUGGCAUGGCCAUAGCCUACACUUUGAAGGAUGACAUUAGGACGAUGAGGGAAGAUGAUGCUACUCCCUCGUUAACUGAUUUAUGAC
rnacentral:lncRNA from 1 species